AAUGACCCUGUCAGCAGCCUAGAAGAAGAAACCUAAGGGGACCAGACCUGAACAGCUGUAGGAGCAUCUAGGAGGCUCAGCCACUGCUGCUGGGCUCUGAGGAAGGAAGGGAGCUGGCCCCAGAGCACUGGGGAGACCUUGACCCUCCUCCCCCCACUUUCCCAAUGCCAGCCUCUAGGCAGUCAGGGCUGGACCUAGAUUUUGGAGGACUUGGAGUUCCUCCACAGCCAGCUCAGAUCAGAGUCAUGCUGACAACUCACAGCAAAAUUCAGACAGUCUGCCCAGCAGCCCUCCUACUGUGUUCAGCCUGGAUCACCCUGGCACCAGAAAACCUGCUUAUCUUCAGCAAAGGAGCCUUUGAUCUCCUCCACCUUGGAUGACUGACAAUUCCAGAUUGAAGCCUUCCCUAGGGGGGAGAUACAGAAAGGGGACUGGGAACCCAACAGCCAUCUAGGCAGCCACAACCUCCUGUUUGCCUGCCUGAGCACCUCUCAGGCCAGGCUAUGGAGGACCACCCUGCUUGCCCAAGCCUGGAGGCUCAACAGCCAGCAGGCCACUUGGAGCAGUUUGGAAAAAGGGAUGGAGCUGUGAGCUUCAGCACUGAUGGGAGCUGCAAAAGAGAGUGGGGUUCAACCCCAGCAGAAUCAUUCCAGUCUCUGCCAAGGUUUCUGAUCCUGGAGCCUGAACCACAGCAGAAGAAACUAAAUGUCUCCCAGUGUAGACACUGAACGCUGGUCCUAUGACAAUGUCCUCCAUUGAAGCAGAGAUCAAAGAAGCUGUGAGGAAAGAAGGAGGCAGAGAGCAGAGCUGUGGCAGGCCAUUCAGAACGGGGAACUUGAAGAGAACCCCUGGCUCAGGAGGAAGGAAGAAACACCAGGAGGACAAGACUCCAGGGAAGGAAAGUGAAACCCUGGUGUUCUAUGGAAUCACCUGCAUACUCGAUGUGAGAACAAAGUGGGUUCUCCCAGAUCCCACCUGAACUUGCUGGGCAGAGUGGGAUACUGGUCGAAAAACAAUCAGAAACAAAACGACAGAAAAAAAAAAACCCGCUUAAGGUCUUUGUAAUCUCAGUCGAGUUUCGUUCAUAGUCCUCUGACCACUGAACGGAACUUUGCACGUUGGACAUCUAACAGACUUAAAACGUAACUUUACCGAUGGUCAACUGAACGAUAUCCGCGAAUGGCAAGCUAUCGCGGAAUUGAUCUUUCAUCCUUUAGAAACCCACGAAGCCUGAGACCUAAGAUAGGAACAGAAAACCUAGCAAUCUCAUCAUCCCUGGUGUAACUGCUAUGGUUUGGUUUCAUCGCGCUGGACCACGCCUAGUCCUCCGCGAUUCCUGAAAGCCAAAAGACAAACCUCUUUACCAAUGCAAGUUGUUUCAGGGUUGCCCCUGCAUGGCCUCUCCAUGACUCCUAGAAACCGGCUAUCCAUGCUGCAGUCAUUUCCUUGGAAAACGCAGCAGCACCACCCAAAACAUUUCCCUUAAAAUCGUUUACUAAAGGCCUA